UACGGGAGGCAGCAGUAGGGAAUCUUUCACAAUGGGCGAAAGCCUGAUGGAGCAACGCCGCGUGCAGGAUGAAGGCCUUCGGAUCGUAAACUUCUGUCCUUGGGGAAGAUAAUGACGGUACCCAUGGAGGAAGCCCCGGCUAACUACGUGCCAGCAGCCGCGGUAAU
rnacentral:rRNA from 1 species